rnacentral:lncRNA from 1 species
CCGUCCCCAUGUGGCCCCCGGCGUGGCUGCUCCCAUAACCUGGAAUCACAAGAAGCAUUAGUUAGCAUGGAAUAAGCUUCAACAUCUGACUGGAUCAACAGAACAGAAAUACCAAUUUCCAACCUUACAGCAAUAAAAUAUACAUGUAAAUGUUAGUUUCAAGUGUACGGGAGUACAAUUCUAAAUCUACACAAUGAAAUGUAUAAGCAAUAUAACAAAGCAAUCCAUAACAAUCUCAAACUCGGGACUGUAGUACAUAAACUGUUUAAAUAUUAUUAUUGUUUACAAAUAAAAAAUGCACGAGUAUUUGCUGGAGUUAGACAAAUUAGCUAUUCUCAUGGACAUUUCUUUUUGUGAAAGGAAUGAUCUGCUAGAUAUUAUCAUGGUGAAGGCCCUAUGAUUUCGAAGGUGAAGGUGUAAAGCACGUAACUGCAGAGCAAUUCAUACCAUGUUGAGUCAGUACCGAUACAACUGCUAGCUAUUCUGACUCUACGUUACAAGUUAAGUAUUAGAAUUGAUGAAGAGAUCAUACCCUGGUGAGAUGAGCCGGGGUAGCCUGCAGGAGGAUAUCCACCUUGAGUUGGGUAGCCACCCGGCUGAGGGUACCCAUAUUGUGGUGGGUAUGCGCCGGGUGGAGGAGGAUACGCCCCUGGGGGAGGUGGGUAUGCUCCUGGUUGCGGUGGGUAGCCCUGCGGAGGGUAUCCCUGCGGGGGGUACCCAUGGCCACCGGCAACGCCGUGCAUCAAGUUUGAGAAGAGCCCCUUGUCGCUCUCGUCAUGCUUGUCUUUCCCUCCUCCCAUUGCUCCCCCAAGUUUACCUAAAGAAAGAACGAGCAGAGUAUAUAUCAAACUGUGAGCCAGCUUAAGUGUAGACAGACAGAAUAUGAAUGUAGAUUGUAACAGGUUGAAGAAUGCGGUGAUCAAAAAUCAAAUCUGACAUAAUCCCUCUGUCCCAGUAUUAUAAGGCGUAAACAUUUGUUGGGCACCAAAUUGAGCUGCGGACGGUCCGGCCCUAAGGUCGGACGGUCCGCGCCUGUAGCCCGGACGGUCCACACGUGCACAGAACAGAUUAGGGUUCCGAGUUUUGUGCAACGGUUGUUAGCUAGAUUCGCGGAAUUAGCUCGGAAAUUAGUUUGUAAAGGGUCUAGCCCCCUCCUCUAUCUCACAUUUAUUUCCUGUACAAUUAGGAGUAGUUUUAGUUUAGUUCUAGUUUAGCUUCUCAAUCCCCAAAUUCUCCGCUUCUCUUCGACUCUACGUUGAUUAGAGGAGUCUAGGUCGGUCUGCUCGAGCCUAGACAUCACCUAGGAUCUCUCCUCCCAGACAGGGUCCCUCCCAGGAGCGAGAUCCAGGCACCGCCGGCGAUCUUCCGCCGCCCCUGCGCACGCGCGGACCGUCCGGUCCUAGGGCGCGGACCGUCCGGCCGUCAGGCAGGAAACCCUUGCCCCGCGCCAGGCCGCGGACCGUCCGGCCCCUGGCCGCGGACCGUCCGCCCCUGUGCAGAGAGCACUAUCGCUGGUUCGUGUUGAGUGAUUGGCGCCCCAAAAAAGUGUCAACAAUAUCUCUAGUUCAAAGGCCAAAAAAUGUAUUAAUUCUCUCUAUGCUAUUGCGUCGAUGUAUACAUGUCUAGAUAGAGCACAUCUUAUAUUAUAGGACUAGAAUAAAAAAUGGUUAAACUUUAUAUUCUGGGAUGGAGAGUGUGUCUGCAAAAGAAUGCACGGUAAUGGAACAGGUGAUGCAGGCACAAAAGUGGUCUAGCUUCAGUAUGGAUGUAGCAGUGUACCGAGCAAAUUGAAUGGUAUAUAUUGGAACAGGAUGAAUGCAAUAGUGUGAGAGCUUUUUUUUUCUAGAUGAAGGAAGCUUUAUUAAUAACAAAGUUCUGGCUUUCCCUCUCCGUAAGAACAUUUUCUAUCCAUAAACUACAUAAUGGCUAAACAUAGGUAUCCCUCUCUGAAUGUUUGCUUCUACUUCCCUCUCCUUACACAACUACUGACCCAAUCUUACAUGAUCCACUGCAGGAUCAGAAGAAUGCUAAAACAGAGCAGCUAAAAGAAGAUUGCUGUGUACUUGCCGAAGGAAGAAAAAAAAUGAUUUGUUUGAUCUAAGAGAUGGUAGUUAAUUGCUCAUUGCAACUCAGAAAAAAAUGAUUUAUCUGAUCUAAGAGAUGAUAAUUAAUUGUGCAUUGCAACACGGACUACAUGACGAGGCAAUCGAUCCUUAGGCCCCUUUGGUUAGGCUUUUCAAACUGCUUUGGCUUUUAAAAAAGCAAAAAAAGCCAACCAAAGAGGUUGGCUCCCAUCUAAAGCCAAAGCAAAAGGCAGCUUUUAGCUAAUACAUGUACAACUUUCAUAACAGACUUCCACUUCUUUCAUUGACUGUGAAGUUGGGAAAAUACGUAAAAUUACUCACGACAACGAUUAAUGUGCAAUCAGGCCUCAUGUGCAAGCGAAAUGUGCAAUCAGGCCUCAUGUGCAAGCGUGCAAGCGUGCAAGUAAGACCUAAUUGCACAGUAGUCGUUGCCAUUACUCACUGCCAAUAGUUAUGAAGAUAAUGAUUCAUUUUACCUACACACAUCUAUUCUUCAUGCAACCAAGCUCCUCGUCUAGCGCUCCACCACCUCGGUUGGUCGCCAAGGGCGAGCAUGACCUCUGCCACAGCAGGCGAGCUUGGGUCCACCAUCGCGAGAAAGCACGACCUUGGUCAAGGAUCCAUCCGGAGGAAGAAGACAAGACAGACAGGGUCCACUUGUCACUGAGUGAAGCUAACGGCAGUUUUUUAGAAGCCACAACUAUUGAACCAAACGAUUCUUAACUUUCGCACAUUCCAUAACCCACGGCUACUUUUCCACCCGUGGAAGAGUGGAAGACCCAGAAAUCUUCAAAAGCCUAAGAAAAUAUAAUACUCAUACUAUAAAGAUAUCGUCUUGCCCAGUUUUUGCCUAUGUUUAGUUGCAUUUUAUUGCUUGGUACACAUAUAUAAGUCUAUUUGCACUAAUGGAUGAGCCUAGGCAAGUGCCCACGCUCGCUAGGCCAUGAGUCCGCCCUUGUUUUCCACAAUCCACAACUCACAACAACCUUUUCAAAAUCCACAAGACCCUUAGGCUAUUCUCAUUGGUUCUCAGUGGGUAGGUAUCAUAUUUGUAUUUCUAAGAUGCCAUGUAAACAAGAAAGGAAUGAAAUCUUUGUUAAAAUAGUCUCUCGCAAUAGAGAGUUUCUUUCCGUGCGAUUUCAUAUAUAGACAAUAUGUCUAGAUAAUAGUGUAGACAUAGCUUCAUCACAUGAAACUCAUUUCAUCUCUUUCUUCAUUAAUUGUUUUACCACAUCAUCUAGAUCACUGAUAUGCCACAUCAUUCAAUGAGAAUGAAAAAAGUUAUGUGAUGUAGGCAGUUGGAAUGAUAUGCAGUAGGAAACUGAAAAGAUACCCGUAUAACGGUGGAGGAUCAUUCCAAUUUCCUACUGCACAUCACUUGAACAUGCUAGCAUCGGCCAUACGUAUAACUGAUUGCAUAUGUUAUACUCCUCUCCUUGUUAUCAUAUAUAAUAAAUAGUUCACCCUAACCGCUACACUUCUCUCCCCACCCCCCCACCCGGCCACCCCCCACAAAAAAAAGGUAGGGUCUACUGGCCACCCAAAUUACAGCGAUAAAACAUUUUAAUUUACAAUUAAUCAUCCACCCUAAUCAUUGCUUGACCCCAUAAAAAUCCUGUACGCACGGUAAAUUUCCCCUCCACCAUCACACAGUCGAUCAAACAGGGGAGCGUUAAUUCGGAACAUCCUCACAAGUGCAGCCACGAACUUCAGACCGGCAGAUCACACACCAUCCACAGAACUCUACUACGUGGUGACGAGCAAAAACCAACGAUCUACACGCACCGGACCGGAUGCACCCCUAAACCCGUGGAACCAAAAACAAUAAAUCUAACCGAAUUAUGCGAAGGUAUUUAUAUAGAUACUAGAGAGACAACAAAGGUGGGAGUAUAGUAUAGAUGACCAACGUGGGAGGAGAGUUGAGCAUACCGAACGACGAGCCGACGACGCGAACUCCGGCGCCCAGAAGCAGAACAGGUAUGCAGCCGAUCUCGGGCGGCGAUGUUCCUGUGGGCGGCGGGUGCUGGUUUGGCCGUUCUCCUUCCCCCAGGCUGGCGGCUAUAUAGCCGAGGAGACGGCGACAAGGAAGGAGCCAGGAUGGUGGCCGGAGGAGCAAACGCGUGGCGCCGAGUCAGGCCGCCAUGCGGGCUCGGGGCGCGUUACGGUUGCUGCGACCUGCGACUUGCGCGUCGCGAGCGCGUGCCGGCGACCGGCGUGCGUGGGAGGGGAAGGGGAGGAAAGGAAGAAAGCAACGCGACGAAGAACCGAACCGAGCCCCACAUCACCAGCCGGGCCUACAGCGCAGUGACCCGGAUCGAAACAUGUAAUUCUUGUGCCAUUUAUUGUCUUAGGAGAAAACAUAUUUAUGCUUCAUCACAAUAUCAAUAUGGGAAGCGAUUUUACGAAAAUACUUCUGCCCUCAAAGUCACACCUCACAGCAGUGCGGCCAACGGCCGCAUCUGUUCGGCUGCAUAGCUGCGAUUUAUGGACUGUGGAAGAGCUACGACAUGUGAAAAAACUGAUGCGGGCUGUUAAAAAGCUAAAAUCGUUUGGUGGAAACCAUUAAAAAUCGUUAAAUGUUUUUUGAUAUAUAUUUCACGGUUCCAUCCAAAAGCCACUAAAAUCAGGUCUAUAGGUGCUUUAAAUUUUGCACUACGAGAAAGUCAGCUUUUAAAAAAAAACUCUUUAUUGUAUUCAAUCCUUUGGUUUGACUUUUAGCUUUUAGGGAGCAAAAACCAAAAUUAAAAGCUAAACCAAACAUACCCUUAGACUACUAUAAUUGUAAUUGAUAAAGACAAAAUAUUGUAGUAACCACAGCGAACAUGGCUCCCAUGAAUUUCAUGCGCGAUGCAGCUUUCGUUCUCUAUAAAUUAUUGAUUGGUUUGUAUUAUGAUAGGAUAGAGCUAUUUUGUCCUCAAUUUAGUAUUGUUUGAAUUGAUUAUAUAUGAAACUUAAAAAAUAAAAAUUAUGCUUAAAUAUUGAACCAUCUUUUCAAAAUAUCCUGGACAGAACCACUCCAAUUGACUCUGAAACCAAAUGCUACCUAAACUAUGCUCAUACUCACUACCUAAACUAUGCUCAUACCCACUCCAUGAUUUCAUUAUAAGAACAGAAUUUAGAGAACCAAACUCUACCUAAACUAUGCUCAUACCCACUGCAUGAUUUUCAUUAUAAGAACAGAAUUUAGAGACAUGACUCGAUCUACUAUUUCAGCCUCAGAGCCUCAGGCAAGCAGGGAAACGGUUGAUGUCAUCAGAUCAACACGUCUUUUCAGACACCAGCAACAACGUACCGAAAUCGAUUGGUCAGAUAAAGCCACGAUUUAUUACUGGCAAUGGAUAUAAUCUUCAGAGCGCUCCAUCCACAAGACCAACAUAUACAGCAUAUCAGCAAAUGGUUAUUUAUGUCACUUAUUAGCAUUAUGUCACUCGCCACAAGCUGGAUUACUGGAAAUACAGAUGAAGGAUGAGUAACGCUGAAAAGGUAUUACUGGCAACACAUGUCCUGGAAGCCUGAGUUCAGCUACGAUCAACCAUGGAGGGCACAUCACUUCCACUUCUUGAACUUGCCGCCGCCGAACAUGCCGUGCCCGUGCUUGCCAUGCUUGAACUUGCCGUGCCCGUGCUUGAACUUGCCGUGGUGGCCGUGACCAUGCUUGAACUUGCCGUGGCCACCAUACCCGUGGCCGUAACCACCGUGACCAUAGCCUCCAAAGGCCCCAUGUCCACCGUGUCCGCUAUGGCCAUGAGAAAGCUUGUGUGCUCCAUAAGCGGCAGCGGCCGCGGCAGCACCUCCCGCUAGCAUUGCCCCCGUCCCCAUGUGGCCCCCGUGGCCCCCGCCGUGGCUGCUCCCAUAACCUGGAAUCACAAGAAGCAUCAGUUAGCAUGGAAUGAGCUUCAAUAUUUUACUGGAUCAACAGAACAGAAAUACCAAUUUCCAACAUUACAGCUACAGAAUGUAUAUGUAAAUGUUGGUUUAGUACAAUUCUAAAUCUGGACAAUAAAAUGUAAUAUAUAAGCAAUAUAACAAAGCAAGCAAGCCAAAACAAUCUCAAACUACGUACUAUAUAAACUGUUGUAUUAUUAUUACUUACAAAUACGAGUAUUUGCUGGAGUUAGACAAAUUAGCUAUUCUCAUAGCCAUUUCUUUUGUGAAAGGAAAGCUCUACUAGAUAUUAUCAUGGUGAAGGCUCCAUGAUUUCCAAGGUAAAGCACAUAACCGCAGAGUAAUUCAUACCAUGUUGAGUCAGUACCAAUGCAACCGCUAGCUAUUCUAAUAUCACUCUACGUUACAAACUAAGCAGAGUAAGUCAUACCAUGUUGUGUCAGUACCGAUGCAACUGCUAGCUAUUCUGAUCUCACUCCAAGUUACAAACUAAGUAUAGAACUGAUGAAGAGGAGAUCAUACCCUGGUGAGAUGAGCCGGGGUAGCCUGCAGGAGGAUAUCCACCUUGAGGUGGGUAGCCACCUGGCUGAGGGUACCCAUAUUGUGGUGGGUAUGCCCCAGGUGGAGGAGGAUAUGCCCCUGGAGGAGGAGGAUACGCCCCUGGGGGAGGCGGGUAUGCUCCUGGUUGCGGUGGGUAGCCCUGCGGAGGGUAUCCCUGGUGGGGGUACCCAUGACCACCGGCAACGCCGUGCAUCAUGUUCGAGAAGAGCCCCUUGUCGCUCUCGUCAUGCUUGUCUUUCCCUCCUCCCAUUGACCCCGCAAGUUACCUGAAGAAAGAACAUGCAGAUUAUAUAUAUCAAACUGUGAGCCAGCUGAAGUGUAGACUGAGAGAAUAUGAAUGUAGAUUGUAACACGUUGAAGAAUAAGGUGAGAAAAUCUGACACAGCAGGCGAGCGCGGCUCGGCCACCACAGGUCUACUGCCUCGGCCGAGCGCGACCUCGAGCACAGGUUUACUGCCUGGGCCGAGCGCGACCUCGGCUAAUAACCCACAACUGCUUUUCCACAAUCCACACAACUUUUUCAAAAGCCACAACACCCUUAGGCUAUUCUCAAUGGGUAGGUUUCAUAUUUGUGUUUCUAAGAUGCCACAUAAACAAGAAAGAAAUGAAAUCUUUGUUGAAUAGUCUCCCCAGUAGAGAGUUUCGUUGGGUGCGAUUUGGUAUGUAACAAGCAAUAGACAAUAUGCCUAGGUAUUUUACCCCAUGAAACUCAUUUUGUCUCUUUCUUCAUCGAUUGUUUGCCACAUCGUCCAGAUCACUGAUAUGGCACAUCAUUUAAUGAGAAUGAAAAAAAUUUAUGCAGAGGCAAUUGGAAUGAUGUACAGUAGAAAACUGGAAUGCUACCCAUAUAAUGGUCGAGUAUCAUCCCAAUUUCCUACUGCACAUCACUUGAGCAUGCUAGGAUCGGCCAUACGUAACUGAUUGCAUAUGGUAUACUCCUAUUGGCAAGCAGAACAGACCCUGCUUGUUAUCAUAUAAUAGUUCACCCUAAGCGCUACCUUUCUUCCCUACAAAAGGUAGGAUCUACUGGUCACCCAAAUUCCAGCGCUAAAACAUUUUAAUUUACAAUUAACUCCUCCGCCCUAAUCAUUGCUGGAGCUGGACCCCCAUAAGAUCAUGUAUGCACGAUAAAAUUCCCCUCCACCACCACCCAGAUCGAUCAAACAGGGGAAGGUUAAUUCGGAGGAUCCUCACAACUAUAGCCACGCUCACGCACUUGAGAUCGGCAGAUCACACACCAUCCAUAGAACUCUACCACAACGAUGACAAGCAAAAACCAACGAUCUACACGCAUCAAAUGAACCCCUAAACUCGUGGAACAAAAAAGUAAAUCUAACCGAAUUACGCGCAGGUAUUUAUAUAGAGAGACAAAAGGUGGGAGGAGAGUUGGGCAUACCGAACGACGACGCGAACUCCGGCGCCCUGAAGCAGCACAGAUGUGCAGCCGAUCUCGGCCGGCGAUGUUCCCUGUCGGCGGCGGGUGCUGGUUUGGCCGUUCCCCUUCCCCCCGGCUGGCGGAUAUAUAGCCGAGGAGACGACGAGAAGGAAGGAGCCAAGAUGGGAGCCGGGAGGAGCAAACGCGUGGCGCCGAGUCAGGCUGCCAUGCGGGCCCGGGGGUGCUAUUCGCGGGGCCGGCGCGUGGAUAGGCUUUGACCUGCACGCACCAUGCCCGCUGCCAUGCGGGCCCGGGGCGAGUCACGGUUGCUGCGACUUGCGCGUCGCGAGCGCGUGCGACUGGGAGGGGAAGGGAAGAAAAGGAAGAAAGCAAAGCGACGAAGGAACCGAAUCGAG